AAUGAUGAAAAUAGCCAAAUCUGAGCAUCAGAAGACCUUUCAGUCUACCUGAUGCAUGAUCUCUGUAGUUCUGAGA
rnacentral:snoRNA from 9 species